UAUUGACAGUAUAAUGACCCACAUGUCUGUAUUCUUAAUUCUAACUGACUUCUGCUGAAUGAACAUUAUAGUAUGUUAUUUUUUUCUUGCACACAGCAAAACGCACCACAAAUCAGCAAUGCCACAGAGGAUCCUCAUUAAUAAGGUUUGGCCAUCUGGCCUGUCCUUUCUCCAGUCUCCUAAAAGUGGCAGUAAUUAUCUACAAGUACUAAUUCUUCAUCAUGACAGUCCUCCAUUCGUCUGUGGAACAAUCGUGAGUUUAUCACCAAAGUCGAGCUUGCUUCAGAGAAUUCCUCGGUAUUUAAUGUUUUCCUGCUGCGAAACAGAGGUGAGAAAAGAAGAAAACUGUGUGUGGCCUGGUGGAAUCAGAUGCUUGAUUGAUAUGAAAAGCUGAACCCAAGCGACUCUUUGCGGAUAAGAUUGGACAUCGAAGUUUUAAGUGUCAGUGCCAUGCAGCCCGUUAUGACUACCAGAGGCAGCUACACGAGUAGAAAGGUACAGCAUUGGCAGUCUCUUUAGUGUACCGCUUGUGGUCUGUUAAUGAUCAUUUAAACAAUUAAGAAGCAAUAUGUCAGAACUGAUCUGUUUUAAUUUCUCAAAAUACCACUUAAAAUCUAAUUUAAUCUCCUAGUGAAGAGGAACGUAAUGUACAAGAACCACAGAGCCAUCAACAGCCAAUGGAUCUCAAUAAAUCAUUGCUAUUAGAAUAGUAAUUAUAGAGAUUAUAUAUUCAUAGUGGUAUCUGUUCGUACCCUUUUUCCAAC